CUCAUGACGAUUUGCACUACGAACGGACGAACGCACAUUGUUGUAUAUGAUACAACGCGGCACUGCCACUAUGUGACAUCAGGAGGAUAACGGCAACAAUAACAAUAACAACAACAGCGAAGCAUCAACGACGAACACGAUAUACACGCGCUGAACACGCAACAAGCACAGCGGGCAGCCAUAUUAUUACCGUCUUUUCGCAGUCCGCGCCUCUGUUGUAGACAUAAUGGUAACCCGCACCACGGACUCGCUGCUCACCUGCCCAGUGAAGAGAGGAGAAGAAGGAAGAAACGUGCACGUCAGGGGUAAGGAGGGAACCUCGCUAGUGGGGAGACGGCCACUUUGCCUCUUGUUACCUGUACGCUCCUGCGUUUAUUUUUCUGCUUCCUUUGCACUCUCAUUUCCUUGCUUUCCGAGCUGACGAUCAAUCUACAUAACGCUCGACCUUUUUUCAAUUUGAAUUAUUGCUCGCGAAUAUGUUCUACGAAGUGGAAAUACGUCAUCUGCGUUCGUUUAUUUUAUAUAAGAUAAGAUUGAAGUUCUACCGUUAACGGAAAAAGACUUUCUGCUUUCGCCACUGAUACAUCGUAUUAUAUAUAUACAUCUAUAUUAUUCCACAUAUAUAAAUCUUUUAUAAAAUUUCAGAAAAAUUCAACAAGGAGUAGCUUGCAAACAAUAUGUUUGUUACUUUAUAAUAGAACUUGGUAAAAAAUUAGAAUAAACAUAUCGUUUU